GGAGUGAAACGAUAUCUUCGGUAAUACUCUCUCUCUCUCUCUAACAAACAUGUCCUUUUUAUUCUGGUAGCCUAAUCCAGGUCAGUUUCUAAUCAGGCCUAUAUAAAUGAAUGCUAAUUGACCUGGAUGGGAUGCUCAGCAGUGACCCCUCACAAACUCUGUCAUAACACCAGCUGCUGCAAGUUUUUUUCUUCUUCUUCCAAUCCAGCAAAUGAACACACGGUAUGAUAAUAACCGUAACGUGGAAUACCGCGGUAUACCGUCACACCGUACAGCAUCAGGGACUGGAGCAGCAGCUCCUGUGAGCUCCCGUUUAUUCCCGCAGCACCGCAGGAACAGCCCUGUCCUGCUUCUGUAACGCGUCAUCUUAGAACUGAGGAGCCGUAGGCUAUCGGGCCUAAUCUAGAACUCUGGCUGGUUUUCUCCACAGACUUGCAAAGUCUCUGCAUUACGAGGAACAAUUACACGUUUAAAUGGGCCUCUACUGCUGGCUCAGCGGAGACCCGCUGGAGCAUGGCGAGUUCGGAGGCUCGUUCCGUGGCCCCCGUGGGGUUGGCGCUUCAGCUUGAUUACGGCGAGUGAAAGACCAACGCUGUGAUAGAGAGUACAGUCUCAGCUGAGAGAGUCGCACGCCUCCUCCGGUCCACAGUCCACCUCGUGGUUCUCCUGUCUGCAGAGUCAACCUACGAAUCCUGAACCGAUAAUUGCAUACUGUAAAUAUACAGGGCCGAUCCUCCCGCCUCUUUAUCCUCCUUCCAUUCCCACAAUCCUGCCCUCCUCUGGGCUCCCUGCGGAUCUCUCUCUCUCCUCUCUUUCAAGGCUCAGGGGUCGUCCGGAGAGUCAGAAUCCCUGCCCGCCUGGAACAAACAAACCGAAAGAGACAAAGGCAGAGAAAGAGAGGAAGGGACGUAGCCGGAUGAUCACCUCUCUACUUGUCUCUGGAUCGAGUGUGGACGCUCUGUUUGUCAAAGCCUCUGGUGAGGAACAGUGUUGUAAGGUGGGGACACUUCACAGGACAGCAUGAGGGUGUGUAGUAUUGAGGGGAGGGAGGAAAAAAUAAUGCUAUGUUCAUAAAUGUCUUUUCAUGAGUGGAUCAUCACCUGAGACUAAACAUGGGUGUGUGUUGGUUCGCUUACAACGAGCCCUGCAUAUCUACAUACGGUGCAGGACCUCUUCACGGUGUCUAUAAUAAAUCACCUCUGGCCAGAUCCUCCUCAAAUUGAACAACAUCAAUAAACCUUUCACCGCUUUCAAUUUAUAUACGUUUAUUUACACUUUUUUCCCCUUCAUUCUCUUUAUUAUGGAAUUUUUCUUAAAUGUAAUAUGUCAGGCUAUGCAAUUUGAUUGUAUUAUAUAUAUUGUGCAUUUUUUCACACUUCAUAUUCAUAUUAUAUGUUUACUCUGUAAACUUUCUUGCUGCUACAACAAAGUUUCCCCCUGAAUAAAGUAUACAUCUAUCUAUGUGACACCGUUAGCGUUGUUAGCACCGGUAGCUGUGAGCCGUCGCCAUGUUGAGAGCUAUGUGGAGACAACAGGUAUACUGUGAAUCUCUAAUUCAGCACUAGGCAGAUUUAGCUAGCUUGUGCGGCGCUGCAUUAGCUGACAGCUACCGCAGUUGCUUCAUAUUGCCCAUAAUAGCAGGAUUAGUCUUCUUAUCCAACUGAAGAAAGCUCACAAGUGUGUGUUGCCCAAAAUGUCAAACAUUCCCUUUAUGACUUGGUUCGAGGUUUAAGCUCACUUAGAUUCUUGUUCAUGCGUUAAUUGCUCGGAACGCUUCCAAUAGGAAUAUGAUGUGUGUGUGUGUGUGUUUGUUUGAUAAAUCUCAUUACAUUUAUAUUACAUUUAUAUGGCUGACAUUUGUCUUAGUAGUAUUCACAUUUAUGAGGAUGUAAUUCAUUAUUUCACUGCAGUUUGUUUGUUUGUAUGUGUGUGUGUGUGUGUGUGUGUGCGUGUGUGUGUAUGUGUGUGUAAAUACAAUGUGAUAAACACGUACAUUUGAACAUUUAAUGAUUUUUUUGGUACUUUUUUAAUGAACAUUGUGUGUGUGUGUGUGUGUGUUUGUACUAAAGUGCGUGGAUGCACUAAAAUGUUUGCGUGUGUGCCACAUUGAAAAUAAGAAGUGUGCAUCUCCGUUCUUAAACAACACCCAGGAGAUUGGAGUCCAACAUCUGGCGCCAAUGUUCACUCCAGUGCUGAAGAGAGAGAGUGUAUAUGUCUGUGUGUGUGUGUGUGUUUGUUUGUGUGUGUUUCUGUAUGAGCGAGCAUGUGUCUGGGAACAUGCCAGUUUUAGAUUUGUCCCAUGCAUUGGCUCAGUCCGCUGCACAACAGGAAGUUAAGAUGUUGAUGUUGGGAGUCUCUGGGAACGAAGGACGACGUUUGCGUCGACGUCACGUGAAAUUGUUCCUCUGAGUUUAAGUAAACAAGUUACGCAAGUUGAAUCAUUUGUGACCCAUCCAAACCUAGUGGUGCCGGAGCAGCAGCGGAAAUAUAGAAAGAAUCUGUCAUGCAGAUAUUUUCUUUUUUAUAAACUGCAGGAUUUCAGCAGGUUCCAGCAGUCAAAAGACACUCAAACGACGACAUGAUGGGAGACUAUCCCUCAACAGAGGAAAGGUAGAGGCUUGGGGUUUCUCAGCAGACAGUUCUGAGAGUAUAAUGUUCCUUUUGCAUUUGACGGGAGAGCACAGCACUGUUUAGUUGGUUUGCCAAGUUAUCCGUCAGGGAGGAAACCUCCCACUGACCAAAAUGGAGAAAUGAAGAGCUAAACUGGAGAUAUGGGAGGAAUUUGUUUUGAUGGGAGUGAGAACAGUGACCACCAAGCCACGAGUGGAACACAGGGAUUUGAACUAAAGUAACCUCAACGGACAGAGGGGAAAGGACAGGGGAAGGAAAGGAAAGGAAAUUUAAAGAAAGGAAAGGAAAGGAGGAGUCUUCCCAGGAUGAGAGCAUGGUUUGAAUUCUUUCAACGGGGACAGGAAGUAUUGUGCGGUGGGGCUUGAAGUGUGUGUGUGUGUGUGUGUGUGUGUGUGUGUGUGUGUGUGUGUGUGUGUGUGUACCACAUGGGAAAUGCAGACUUGGUAAUCCCGAACUCGUUGCGUGACACAGUGGAGCGAUGAACGCUGUCACACGGACACAACAAACGCUAAUUCACACUGACACACGACUGACCACAUGUGCUUCAGCGCAGUGGCGGUGCGUCCAUAGGGGGCGCUAGGGCGCCGCCCCUCUUAAAUUUUUUAGAUGAAAAAAAAAUACAUCCUGUCAAAAAACAUUAUAUGCCAAAUCAUUUAAAUAGUAAAUAUACCGUGUUGACGCGCUAAAUGUGUGUGGGAGACCGUCAGCCUGUCAACAACCACUUAAGUUAAUGUGAAAAAAUAUAAUAUAUCGCCACUCAUUAUCACGGAGAGAAGCCCCGCCCCAUUUUCGGGACACCGGCCAAACGUGUGUGUGCGGGAGCGAGCAAACAUUUCAGUCGUUUCGGCAAGGACGGCUUCUCAUUGGCGGAUGAAACGUGAAUCUUGGGGCACAAAAAUGUGCGCUCAUUGGCCAAUGACAUCGUUUCUUAUUUCACGUGAUUGGACUAUUCGGCAGAUCAGAGACCGGUAUUGGUCCCUCAGCCAGAGAGCUCCACGGAGCUACGGGAGCAGGUAGCUAACGGAGCUGGUUAGCUGGAGGCUCUGAGUAAUGCUGUUUAGUUUCCCCUGUCUGUUGUUCCAAAGGGACUGAAACUCUCUGGACUACAACGGGGUGAGGGAUCUAAAGAGCUGCAGACAAGUGUAAAGCACGAAUCUUGCCGCAGUUAUCUAGCUAAGAGCAUGAAGCUAACUCACUAACAGCCUGAAGCUAACCCUGUUUGCAGAGCAGAGCAGCAGAAGGAGACCGGACUGGCAUCGAAACACAACGAAGAAGUUCUGAAAAACAGACACAUUCCCUCAAGAAUAAUGGUUAACAGGCUGGUUACAGACAUGAUUGACUUUAACCAGAGAGUUAUGGAGAAGUUUGCCAACUUUAAAGAGAGGAGGCUACUUGUCUUUACAGUAGUGGGUCUCCUCUGUCACUCAAUGUAACAUGUGAUCUCUUUCUGACUCUAUUCUGCUCUGAACCUCUUUCAUGUGAGGGUGAAACUCUUUUAUUUUGCAAACCUCUGAAACCCAACCCAAUGUUUCUUAAAGCUGCUCUGAACCUCUCAUGCCCAAAGUUACAGUGUGUUGAUAGUUGUUAUUGGACCGUGUUGAGCACGCUGUGUUCUUGAAAUAAAGCUUUGUUUUUUACAAUAUUCUA